AUUGAACGCUGGCGGCAUGCCUUACACAUGCAAGUCGAACGGCAGCGGGGGAGAAGCUUGCUUUUCCUGCCGGCGAGUGGCGAACGGGUGAGUAAUACAUCGGAACGUGCCCUGUAGUGGGGGAUAACUAGUCGAAAGAUUAGCUAAUACCGCAUACGACCUGAGGGUGAAAGUGGGGGACCGCAAGGCCUCAUGCUAUAGGAGCGGCCGAUGUCUGAUUAGCUAGUUGGUGGGGUAGAGCCCUACCAAGGCGACGAUCAGUAGCUGGUCUGAGAGGACGAUCAGCCACACUGGGACUGAGACACGGCCCAGACUCCUACGGGAGGCAGCAGUGGGGAAUUUUGGACAAUGGGCGAAAGCCUGAUCCAGCAAUGCCGCGUGUGUGAAGAAGGCCUUCGGGUUGUAAAGCACUUUUGUCCGGAAAGAAAUGGCUCUGGUUAAUACCUGGGGUCGAUGACGGUACCGGAAGAAUAAGGACCGGCUAACUACGUGCCAGCAGCCGCCGUAA
rnacentral:rRNA from 1 species